rnacentral:rRNA from 1 species
CCUAGGGUGGUAGCAGUGGGGAAGAGUGGGCAAGGGGCGCAAGCCGGACCCAGCAACGCCGCGUGAAGGAAGAAGGCUUUCGGGUUGUAAACUUCUUUUCUGGGGGACGAACAAAUGACGGUACCCCAGGAAUAAGCCACGGCUAACUACGUGCCAGCAGCCGCGGUAAUACGUAGGUGGCAAGCGUUAUCCGGAUUUAUUGGGUGUAAAGGGCGUGUAGGCGGGAAUGCAAGUCAGAUGUGAAAACUCAGGGCUCAACCCUGAGCCUGCAUUUGAAACUGUGUUUCUUGAGUGCUGGAGAGGCAAUCGGAAUUCCGUGUGUAGCGGUGAAAUGCGUAGAUAUACGGAGGAACACCAGUGGCGAAGGCGGAUUGCUGGACAGUAACUGACGCUGAGGCGCGAAAGCGUGGGGAGCAAACAGGAUUAGAUACCCCUGUAGUC